rnacentral:lncRNA from 1 species
GACACAAUGACGUCAAAUGAAUCGAGAGUGCCUAAAGGGAAAGCUUGUACUUCAGAGCCUAGGCAUCCUCUUCCCAGGUCACUGUUUCCAAGCCACAGAACGUGGCCGCCCUGAAAAUAGAGAUACCAGAUUAAUGCUGGGACUGAAACCCUGA